ensembl:lncRNA
GUCUGUACUGUGUGUGUGUGUGUGUGUCUGUGUGGUGGUCAGUGUAAUGACUACUGUACUGGUCAGUGUACUGUAGUCUCUAAGACUCACCACAGAGUGAGACUGGUACCUGCCGACAGGGACUGAGAGAUAUCGGUCUCCCUGUGCGAUGGUUCUAUACAAAACACUAACGUUCAGAAGAGACUUUGUGUGUGUGUGAGAGAGAGAGAGGUCAGUGUGUGAGAGAGAGAGUGAGGUCAGUGUGUGAGAGAGAGGGUGAGGUCAGUGUGUGUGUGAGAGAGAGAGAGGGGUCAGUGUGUGUGAGAGAGAGAGAGGUCAGUGUGUGUGAGAGAGAGAGAGGUCAGUGUGUGUGUGUGAGAGAGAGAGAGAGGUCAGUGUGUG